UGCGGAGUAGAGCAGCAAGGUAGCUCGUUGGGCUCAUAACCCGAAGGUCGCAGGUUCGAAUCCAGCCUCCGCUA
rnacentral:tRNA from 2 species